rnacentral:sRNA from 1 species
AUAUCUCUCUGUACGGGAAGGAUGAGAAGCUUCGACUAAGGUUCGAUUCGAGCGCAGCGAGAAAGCGUUGCCGUAGGCAACGACCCGAAGGGCGAAGCGCGCAGCGCUGAGUAAUCCUUCCACCGUCAUCC